AAUAAAAUGGCUGAGGUAUAAGCGAUAAAUUGUAAAUUUAUUAACGAAGAAAUUUUCUCUUCUUUUAUUA
rnacentral:tRNA from 1 species